GAUGAAGAACGUAGCGAAAUGCGAUACUUGGUGUGAAUUGCAGAAUCCCGUGAACCAUCGAGUCUUUGAACGCAAGUUGCGCCCGAAGCCAUUAGGCCGAGGGCACGCCUGCCUGGGCGUCACACGUCGUUGCCCCCCCAUCUACUCCUUCGGGAUUGCGGGGGGCGGAUGAUGGCCUCCCGUGCGCCUCGUCGCGCGGUUGGCAUAAAUGCCAAGUCCUCGGCGACGCACGCCACGACAAUCGGUGGUUGCGAAACCUCGGUUGCCCGUCGUGUGCGGUCGUCGCGCAUCGAGGGCUCGAAAAAAUUGCCGGGCUCCGGCUCGGCUUUCAACGCGACCCAGGUCAGGCGGGGUUACCCGCUGAAUUUAAGCAUAUCAAUAAGCGGAGGA
rnacentral:misc_RNA from 1 species